GGAAAUCCGCCCAGGGUAAGGCGGGACCUAAGACGAGCCCGACAGGGGUAGUCGAUGGACAGCCGGUUAAUAUUCCGGCCCUCACGGUGAGAUCAAAGCGAAGUGCGGAUUCGAAAGCUACACGGGACAGUGAAGCGUCCGGCAGUGGGUGGAAGAGUUCCAAGAAAAGCUUCGUGGGCAAUCCGUGACCCGUACUAAAACUGACACAGGUAGGCGUGGUGAAUAACCUCAGGCGCUCGAGAGAAUGGUUGUGAAGGAACUAGGCAAAUUGACCCCGUACGUUCGCAAUAAGGGGGCCCUACCGGAAACGGAGGGCGCAGAGAAAAGGCGCUGACGACUGUUUAUCAAAAACACAGCACUGUGCAAACUCGAAAGAGGACGUAUACAGUGUGACGCCUGCUCGGUGCCAGAAUGUCAAGGAAGUAGGUUAGCUCCGGCGAAGCUUACAACCGAAGCACUGGUAAACAGCGGCCGUAACUAUGACGGUCCUAAGGUAGCGAAAUUCCUUGUCGGGUAAGUUCCGACGCGCAUGAAUGGCGUAACGAUUGGCGCACUGUCUCCACAACCAACUCGGUGAAAUAGUAGUGGCGGUGAAGAUGCCGCCUUACCGUGGCAAGACGGAAAGACCCCGUGGACCUUUACUGUAGGCUUGUAUUGAUCACGAUUCUGUGAUGCGUAGGAUAGGUGGGAGGCUUUGAAGCCAGGAUUUCGGUCCUGGUGGAGCCGUUGGUGAAAUACCACUCUUUGCAUUGUUGUGAUCUAACCCUGACUCCCAUGAAGCUGGGCAGGGAACCGUGCAUGCCGGGCAGUUUGACUGGGGCGGUCUCCUCCUAAAGUGUAACGGAGGAGCACAAAGGUCGGCUCAACGCGGUUGGAAACCGUGUUUCGAGUGUAAGAGCACAAGCCGGCUUUACUGCGAGACAAACAGGUCGAGCAGUUACGAAAGUAGGUUCUAGUGAUCCUGCGAUCCCGUGUGGAAGGGUCGUAGCUCAUCGGAUAAAAGGUACCCCGGGGAUAACAGGCUUAUCGCUCCCGAGCGUCCA
rnacentral:rRNA from 1 species